rnacentral:rRNA from 1 species
AGCGAACGCUGGCGGCAGGCUUAACACAUGCAAGUCGAGCGGGCAUCUUCGGAUGUCAGCGGCAGACGGGUGAGUAACACGUGGGAACGUACCCUUCGGUUCGGAACAACUCUGGGAAACUGGAGCUAAUACCGGAUACGCCCUUAUGGGGAAAGGUUUACUGCCGAAGGAUCGGCCCGCGUCUGAUUAGCUAGUUGGUGGGGUAACGGCCUACCAAGGCGACGAUCAGUAGCUGGUCUGAGAGGAUGAUCAGCCACACUGGGACUGAGACACGGCCCAGACCCCGCGGGGAGGAAGCGGGGGGGAAUAUGGGAAAAUGGGCGCGAGCUUGAUCAACCCCGCCCGGGGGAGGGAGGAGGCCGUUGGGGUUGAAAACCUUUUUGUGCGGGGAGGAAAAGGCGGGUCCGGAAAAAAUAGCCCCCGCCUACCUGGGUC